AAAGUCGUAACAAGGUCUCCGUAGGUGAACCUGCGGAGGGAUCAUUAACACAGAAAAAAGGCAAAAGCGAUGCGGUCAAACGCAAACGUGGCCUCUUUUCUUAUCUCACCCAUCUCGCGUGAACUAUGAUGCCCACUCUGCAAGGCAGUGGCGGCGCUGCUGUGUCAUUCAUUUGGCACAUUUUGAUGCUGCUGCUGCUUUUUUUGCUAUUUUUUGCAAAACCUUUUCCAACACCAAUACCAACUGUUUUCUUUUAUUUUUGUUUUGUUCUCACUGUCACUAGUGUGAACUAAAGAAAAAUGUGAAAAAAACUAACGUAAAAAAGUACAACUCUUAGCAACGGAUAUCUUGGUUCUC
rnacentral:misc_RNA from 1 species